AUAAACUGUGAAUGGAUUUGCCUCUCGCAUCAGAUGAUGGCUAGAGAAAGACCUUUCAAUCAACCUUACCUGUGAGUUUUGGGCAAUCGCAUCGGCCCCACAUCCACAUACCAGUCAUCUUCUCGGAUGCAGGCUACUUCUGCUGAUCAUUGGCUGCCAGCAGUUUAGCAGUUUAAUUCUCAUGGGCUCAAGAUUGACUCAGCCUUCCAUUCUUCAGAGGUUCUAUCUCACUUGCAUUUAUGAGAUCUGGAAAACCCCACAAAAGAUCUAAAAAUGAGUAAUCAAAGAAAAUCGGUGCCAUAAAUUUCCGUUAGAAAAUUUGCUUUAUAGCAACACUACAGCAG